rnacentral:lncRNA from 1 species
GGAUGAUAAUUUCUUAAAUUCCAGGUUAGGAAAUUCUAGUUCGUAUGUAUGGAAAAGUAUUUGGGCAGCAAAGGACUUAAUGAAAAAAGGGCAUUGUUGGAGGGUGGGGACGGGUACUAAUAUUUGCAUAAGCGAUGCUUGGAUUCCAGAUUCUGUUAAUUUUAGAUUAUCAUCAGAUAUUAAUUUUUUGCGUGAUGUUAAAGUUGGCGAGUUGAUUGAUAAUAAUACCAGAAGUUGGAAAAAAGAGUUGAUUACUAGUACCUUCCUGGAAGACGACGCAGCUAGAAUCCUCAGAAUCCCUCUGGCACAAACACCGCAUGAUGAUUUUCUUAUCUGGGGAGGCGAAAGGUCGGGUGAGUUUACGGUCAGAAGUGUCUAUCAAUUAUUACAAAAAUUGACUGACAAUCCUAGAGCUUAUGCUUUACAGACCAUCUAUGGGAAUUUUUAUAAAAAACUAUGGUGCCUGAAUCUACCAGCUAAAAUUAAGGUUACAAUAUGGAAGCUAUCUUGGAAUUAUCUGCCUACAAAGGUGAAUCUUCAACAUCGGAAGUUAGUAGUAAAUCCGAGCUGUCCCCGAUGUGGAGAAGAAGCUGAAACAAUGAACCACUUAUUUCGUUACUGUCAUGUUACAAGGGAGGUAUGGAGAUCAUUAUCGUUUCAGUGCAUUUUAAGGAAUCAUUGUGAAGAUUUUGUACAGUGGAUUACCUGGGCAAUAGAGCAGCUCAACCUUGAUCAAAGUCGCGUAUUUUGUUGUGCACUCUCGGCAAUAUGGGGCGACAGAAACAAAAGAAUACAUGAAGGUAAAAUUAGAAAGGGGACGGAAGUUGCAAAUCUUAUAAUCAGUUACAUCAAAGAAAUUGAUAGUCUUGAGAAGAGAGAUCUGAACCGUGCCUUAGAGAAAAAGAGAUGGUCGCCACCACAGGAAAGUUUCAUGAAGAUCAACUUUGAUGGCGCAUACGAUAAAGGAAAGAAUCAGUCGGGUGUGGGUAUUGUGGCCAGAGAUUCGAAUGGUACUAUUCUUUUUUCAUACUCAGAGAUUCAUUUUGGUAUUCCAUCAGCCUUUGCUGCUGAAGCAAUUGCCUGCCGGAAAGGCGUUCAAAUGGGAAUCAGGAGGGGAUGGCGACAUUUGAUCCUUGAAGGAGACUCCCUCACAAUAGUCAAAAAAUGUAAAUCGAAGAGUCAAGAUAGAUCUAUGGUGGGAGUAUACAUUUUUGACAUUCAACAGGAAAUCUAUGGACUUGAAAACAUCAGAUUUCAGUAUAUACCUAGAUCCGCAAAUGGUCUUGCUCAUAUCAUAGCAACAGAAUCAUUGAGAAGAGGAGAAGAGUUUUACCUGGAUAGGGGAGUUCCAGAUUAUGCCAUGGAUCAAGCUCGGCUGGAUGGGAGAAGUGAAGAAGAAGUCUCCAGAGAAGAAAAAUGACGAAUGAAAGGCUUUGAACAAGAAAAUGAAACGGACUGAUUUCUUUUGGCUUACCUUGGAAAUGAAAUCGUCAUUAUGAAAGGAGAUGACAGAAAAGACUGAAGACGGUUUCCCACGCUUCUUCUGAUUGGGCAAUGGGUCGGUGCUUUAAUGACCGAUUCUAGAACAUUCAUUAUAAAUAUCUAGAUUUUAUUUUGGUUAAGGCCAUCUGAUUUGGGCCGUGUUGGGUUUUAGG